UACAGAGGUGGCAAGCGUUGUUCGGAAUUACUGGGCGUAAAGGGCGAGUAGGUGGCCAUCUAAGUCAGACGUGAAAAUCCCCCCGGCUUAACCUGGGAACUGCGUCUGAUACUGGACGGCUUGAGUAUGGGAGAGGGAUGUAGAAUUCCAGGUGUAGCGGUGAAAUGCGUAGAUAUCUGGAGGAAUACCGGUGGCGAAGGCGGCAUCCUGGACCAUUACUGACACUGAUCCGCGAAAGCUAGGGGAGCAAACGGG
rnacentral:rRNA from 1 species